rnacentral:rRNA from 1 species
AAAUUGAAGAGUUUGAUCAUGGCUCAGAUUGAACGCUGGCGGCAGGCCUAACACAUGCAAGUCGAACGGUAACAGGAAGCAGCUUGCUGCUUUGCUGACGAGUGGCGGACGGGUGAGUAAUGUCUGGGAAACUGCCUGAUGGAGGGGGAUAACUACUGGAAACGGUGGCUAAUACCGCAUAACGUCGCAAGACCAAAGAGGGGGACCUUCGGGCCUCUUGCCAUCAGAUGUGCCCAGAUGGGAUUAGCUUGUUGGUGAGGUAACGGCUCACCAAGGCGACGAUCCCUAGCUGGUCUGAGAGGAUGACCAGCCACACUGGAACUGAGACACGGUCCAGACUCCUACGGGAGGCAGCAGUGGGGAAUAUUGCACAAUGGGCGCAAGCCUGAUGCAGCCAUGCCGCGUGUAUGAAGAAGGCCUUCGGGUUGUAAAGUACUUUCAGCGGGGAGGAAGGUGUUGUGGUUAAUAACCGCAGCAAUUGACGUUACCCGCAGAAGAAGCACCGGCUAACUCCGUGCCAGCAGCCGCGGUAAUACGGAGGGUGCAAGCGUUAAUCGGAAUUACUGGGCGUAAAGCGCACGCAGGCGGUCUGUCAAGUCGGAUGUGAAAUCCCCGGGCUCAACCUGGGAACUGCAUUCGAAACUGGCAGGCUUGAGUCUUGUAGAGGGGGGUAGAAUUCCAGGUGUAGCGGUGAAAUGCGUAGAGAUCUGGAGGAAUACCGGUGGCGAAGGCGGCCCCCUGGACAAAGACUGACGCUCAGGUGCGAAAGCGUGGGGAGCAAACAGGAUUAGAUACCCUGGUAGUCCACGCCGUAAACGAUGUCUACUUGGAGGUUGUGCCCUUGAGGCGUGGCUUCCGGAGCUAACGCGUUAAGUAGACCGCCUGGGGAGUACGGCCGCAAGGUUAAAACUCAAAUGAAUUGACGGGGGCCCGCACAAGCGGUGGAGCAUGUGGUUUAAUUCGAUGCAACGCGAAGAACCUUACCUGGUCUUGACAUCCACGGAAGAAUUUCAGAGAUGGAUGUGCCUUCGGGAACCGUGAGACAGGUGCUGCAUGGCUGUCGUCAGCUCGUGUUGUGAAAUGUUGGGUUAAGUCCCGCAACGAGCGCAACCCUUAUCCUUUGUUGCCAGCGAUCGGUCGGGAACUCAAAGGAGACUGCCAGUGAUAAACUGGAGGAAGGUGGGGAUGACGUCAAGUCAUCAUGGCCCUUACGACCAGGGCUACACACGUGCUACAAUGGCGCAUACAAAGAGAAGCGACCUCGCGAGAGCAAGCGGACCUCAUAAAGUGCGUCGUAGUCCGGAUUGGAGUCUGCAACUCGACUCCAUGAAGUCGGAAUCGCUAGUAAUCGUGGAUCAGAAUGCCACGGUGAAUACGUUCCCGGGCCUUGUACACACCGCCCGUCACACCAUGGGAGUGGGUUGCAAAAGAAGUAGGUAGCUUAACCUUCGGGAGGGCGCUUACCACUUUGUGAUUCAUGACUGGGGUGAAGUCGUAACAAGGUAACCGUAGGGGAACCUGCGGUUGGAUCACCUCCUUACCUUAAAGAA